CCCAAAAGCGCCACCCGUUUCCGACGAGACUUGUCCUUUUGGGGACACCCCAAGAAUUUUUAUUGAAUCCAAUCAAACGUGUCAAGAAAUCAUCUCGGGUUCGAAUUACUCAUAUAAGUGCUACACCGAAUACUACAACGAAGAAUGCUGUUCAACAUGUAAUCGUAUCAGAGAAGAAUACAAACAUUUAACUGAUUGUCAGUAUGGAGACCGAGCUACGGGCUGUCAACAAGAAUUUUGCCCUGGAUAUACCGAAUACUCCAGAACUGUGCUCUGCUGUCAAACAUGCGCAGCAGCUACCACAACUCAAUCUCCGAACACUACAAUUGGUGCUCAUACCACAACAACCGACGCGUCUUCUACAGCUGCGGCUCCUACAACACGAGCUCUACCAACAACUGAGGCUCAUACAACUGAGGUUUCUACAAGUGAGGCUCCUUUAUUAACUGAGGCUACAACAACAGAGUCUCCUACAUCUGUGGCUACUAUAAUAACUGAGACUUCUACAACUGAGGCUCCUACAACCGAGGUUUCUACAACUGAAGCUUCUAUACUAACUAAGGUUAUAACAACUGAGUC